rnacentral:lncRNA from 7 species
GUCUGUAUGUAAUGAAUCCUAUGUUAGGGACUUGAAUUUUGCUGUGGGAAUUUGAAAAACAUGGGAAGCUGCUCUCUGCCAAGCUAUUUCCUUAAGGAUCCACUUUACAUACUGCUGAAUCAAUGGCCUGUCAGGUGCAGUUACAUGCCAUAGUGAUGAUAUGAGGUCAAUCAAAUGAAACCAAGACAUUUCUGAAGUGAGUUCUCAUUUCUCCUCAAAUGGUAGCUAUUCCACAUUUCUCAUCUUCCUGGAUAUACUUCCCUGUAUUUAAAUAAUACCACUUAAGAUUGAAUGGAACUGUUCAGUUGUAAGGACUUCCAAAGAUCAUCGAACCCAACUGCAGGAUAUUCGAAGCACUGUUGGAAGAAAUCACACAGUUACUGUCUUUGAAAAGAGAUGAAGAAUGAUGACAUGUUUGAAGAUGAGGUCCAAGUGUUGCCCAAGAGUUCUGCACCAGUAUUCUGCACUAUUUUCUGAAUAUACCCUCAUUUCCAGAGCCUAAGAGGACUGUUCCAGAUACUAUGCUUGUGGCUGCUUUUUGUGGCACUUAAGCCAGAAGGAUUAUCCUCCUAUGAAAAGAAUGUUUUGGUGAUGUCUGCAUAACACCUUCUCCUGCCUCAUCCCUUUUCCGUGAUGUGAAGAGUUUUGAGUGACAUGAAAUUCUCACAAGACAUCUUCAAAAUAAAUGCAAGCAGUACUC